rnacentral:lncRNA from 1 species
CCUCCAGGAACAUAUGCCGAGGAUAGUCUUUAUGAGUUUAUACGUGAAAUAGCUUCUAAGAGCUUAUACUUGAGAUAGCCAGCAUGGGCUUACAUAUGAGAAUUUCAUUAGAUAUAGAUUGAAGAAUGAUUUUGGUUAAUCCAAAAUCGAAAGUAAAAGAUUAUGAAAUCUAAAAUUAUGAUAAGAGAAACAGAUGGCA